rnacentral:lncRNA from 1 species
ACAAUCCCAAAACCGGGCAGCUACUUCAGGGGUCACAAAACUAUGUGUUGCCCCCGAGUCGAACAAUACAUGUGUGGGUUUACCAGCAACAUGUAUGGUUCCUGCCACAGUAAUCCAAUCAACAAUAUCUUAAUCACAAAAAUACUAAUCAAAAUUCUCACAACCAUCCAUCAUCAUCCAAAAUUUCUAAACGCGCAACCUAGCGAUCAAG